UGAACUUUUGUUAAUGAAUGGGUGAAAGACGUUAAUUGCUGGCUAAAUACAAAUAGCAUUUGCCCAGAGAAAAUAAUAAAGACAGCAUUAAAGAGUAGCAGCAAAUUACAGCAGCUAACAAAGAAGUGGCUAGGAGCAUCACAGAUGGCAGCGCUUAUCUGGCACUUUGAGGGUAUGCUUUUGGCCAUCUUUGUACCAGCUGACAACACCAUUUGGACGUGACAAUUCGCAGCUCAGAAUAAUUUCCUCAGGGACAUGACGGUCAAGGUGGACAUCCUCCUUGGGGUAGAUUAUCAUCACCGGGGGUUCUGUGAUAGAAGAUUAUAUGCAAUUGAAACAUUGUCCAUUUCCAUCUUUGUACCAAUGGACAACACCAUCAGAACUUGAUACUUCACAUGACAGGACAAGCUGUUCGUUUUCCACAACACUCUUGAAAAGGUCCUCCUCUGGGAUAUCAACAAAUGUUACCGGUGGCGCUGCAGAAAACGGUACACAAAAGAAGAGUUUCAACCCAUCCUUGUACCAGUCGACAUGAGCAGAAGGGUCAUCAGAAAGUUCACAGCUGAGGACAAUGGGAGAACCUUCUUGGACGGACUUGGUCCUGUCACUCUCUUGAAGCUCUGAGAACUUCACAGCAAACUGGAUGUCAUCAUCCUUUGACUCACAGCGGUAAACGCCAGUGUGAGACCGCUCGGCUGAUGGGACAACUAGACUCCUCAAAUUUCCCGCUGACUGGAUGGCUACACCAU